rnacentral:lncRNA from 1 species
AAAGGUCAUAAAUUAUGAAAAGGGUUGAUAAGAGCCAAAAGGUUAAAAGCACGGAUUCUCUUAUGCUUCCGAAAGUAUAGUAACUCUAUUAUUUAUAAUUAUAUGUAUAUAAAGUUUAGGUUAUUGGGCAUGUACUUGCCCACAAAACUAGACCAAUAAAAUUCUGCUAUAAUUAUUCUCUCUCUUUUUUACUUGCUCGCAGAGUCGCUUUUCUUAAUUUUUUUAAUAUUAUAAUACUGUAUUUCAUACAUUUAUUUUGUAUAUUGAAUAUUCAAAUUAUUGGAUAUUUUUUUUAUCAAUUUUUAGAUAAUAUUUUACAAAAAUUAAAUUAUAGAUUGUUAAGAAUUUUAAGCAAUUUGUUUACUGGUUGAGCUCGCUGGACUCAAAGUUAGACUCGCUCAAGCUUGGUUCGAAUUAAUUUCAAGCAUAGCUUGAGCUUAAAUUUAGGCUCGAAAUUAAUUUCAAGGUAAAAUCUUGAGUUGAGGUAAGCUUACUCAAACUCCGCUCGUUUCCACCCCUACAUUAGCCCCCUUCCGUUAGAGUUUUAUAUUAUUCUAUCUAUUUUGUAUAAAUUAUAUCAAAAAUAUUCUUCAAGACGGCAGAAAUACAUUAAAAAUUUAUUUUUAUUUCUUAUAAAAGAUGUAAAGGCAAUUGAUUAUUUUGCCCUUUCCAUUAACAUUGUAAUUUAUAAAAAUGUUUUUGAAUUUUUAAAAAGAUAAAAUAUAGAUUUUUGAAACAAAAUUUUUAUAUUUUGACCUAAAUUUUUGAGCUAUAGGUGAGAAGCAGACACGUGCGAUACCACGAGGGGCAAAUGAAGUUUACCUUCUUUUUUCCGUAGGCUUUUUUUACAUUUAGCUUUCUCAGAAUUUUUUUUCUAUGAAUAGUCCUACAAAAUUUAUAUUUGAAAGAUUGGUCCUAUCCACCAACGCAAGCGCCACAUGAGUAGUUGUUUAGGUUAAGUUGAACUCCGUAGAUCAUUCACUGUAUUUAAACACGACGAAUGAUUUAUCGUGUUACAUUAUUUUUCCUCCGAUUAGAAAGAAUUAUUCAUUAUAUCUAAAUACGAUAAAUGAUUCAUCAUGUUCAACUUAACUUUCACUGUCAUCGACGCUUGCGUGGCCUCGUGCGGCAACGGGAAUAAGAUCAAUCUUAUAAAUAUAAAUCUUGUAGAACUAUUUGUAGAAAAAAAUUAAUAAGGGUGCUAAAUGCAAAAAAAAAAAAAAAAAAAAAAAAAACUUGUUUCCGUUCAAUCGCGCGAGGCCGGACAGCUAAAGCUCGCCUUUCCAAGAAAAGAAGAAAAAGCGAAAAUAUUUUAGAAUUAAAUUCAAAUCACGCUCGCCCAAUCCGAGUCCCUUCAAUCGAAUCACACUCCCAUUCGAGAGGGAACCAAAAAAAGAAAAAAAAAAAAUCUCCCAAUUUCUGGGGUUUUUUCUACCACCUCUCAAUGCGAUAAUCGAUUCGAUUUGAUUUGAUGCGGCCGAUUUCUAGGGUUUCUUGCCUCCCAACGCCGUCGAUUUUACGGUGAAUUUGGGGAUUUUUUUUUUUUUUUUUUUUUUUUUUUUUGGGAGUGAUGGGAAAGGGCUCGUGGAAUUGGGGAUCUUAGGAUUUGAUUUGAUGCGGCCGAUUUCUAGGGUUUCUUGCCUCCCAACGCCGUCGAUUUUACGGUGAAUUUGGGGAUUUUUUUUUUUUUUUUUUUUUUUUUU